AGCGAACGCUAGCGGCAGGCCUAACACAUGCAAGUCGAGGGGUAUAGUCCUUCGGAACUAGAGACCGGCGCACGGGUGCGUAACGCGUAUGCAAUCUACCUUUUGCAGAGGGAUAGCCCAGAGAAAUUUGGAUUAAUACCUCAUGGUAUGUGAGAAUGGCAUCAUUUUCACAUUAAAGUCACAACGGCAAAAGAUGAGCAUGCGUCCCAUUAGCUUGUUGGUAAGGUAACGGCUUACCAAGGCAACGAUGGGUAGGGGUCCUGAGAGGGAGAUCCCCCACACUGGUACUGAGACACGGACCAGACUCCUACGGGAGGCAGCAGUGAGGAAUAUUGGACAAUGGGCGCAAGCCUGAUCCAGCCAUGCCGCGUGCAGGAUGACGGUCCUAUGGAUUGUAAACUGCUUUUGUACAGGAAGAAACACUGGUUCGUGAACCAGCUUGACGGUACUGUAAGAAUAAGGAUCGGCUAACUCCGUGCCAGCCGCCGCGGUAAGAC
rnacentral:rRNA from 1 species